rnacentral:lncRNA from 1 species
GUCCCCAAAAUGAGGGGGGGUCCCCAAGGCCUAAAGGGUCCCCAAAAUGGAGAAGGUCCCCAAAAUGGGAGGGGUCACCAAGGUGGGGACGGUCUCCAAAAUGGGGGGUCCCAUUGGGGUCCCAUGGGUGGGAAGUCCCCAAACUGGGGGUCCCCUAAGUGGAGAAGGUCCCCAAAAUGGAGGGUCCCAUGAGGGGGCCCCCAAAUUGAGGACGGUUCCCAAAAUGGGGGUCCCAUGGGUGAUGUCCCCAAACUGGGGGGGUUCCCCAAAUUUGGGGAGGGGGUUCCAUGGAGGGUCCCCAAAAUGAGGGUCCCCAAAAUGGGGGUACCGUGGGUAGGAGAUCCCCGAAAUGGGGUCACCAAGGUGGAGAACGUCCCCAAAAUGGAGGGGUCACCGAGGUGGGGACGGUCUCCAAAAUGGGGGAUCCCAGAGGGGGUCCCAUGGGUGAGGUCACCAAAAUGGGGGGGUCACCAAGGUGGAGAAGGUCCCCAGAAUGGGGGGGGGUCCCAUGAAGGGGUUUCCCAAAACGGGGGUGUCCCAAAAUGGCCCCCCAAGUCCUGGGGGGUCCCCAAGGUGGAGAAAGUCCCCAAAAUGGGAGAUUCCAUUGAAGGUCCCCAAAAUGGGAGAUCCCAUUGA